rnacentral:rRNA from 1 species
UACGUAGGGAGCAAGCGUUGUCCGGAAUCAUUGGGCGUAAAGCGCGCGUAGGCGGCCUCGUAAGUCCGUUGUGAAAGUCAAAGGCUCAACCUUUGAAAGCCGAUGGAUACUGUGAGGCUAGAGUCCGGAAGAGGCGAGUGGAAUUCCUGGUGUAGCGGUGGAGUGCGCAGAUAUCAGGAGGAACACCAAUAGCGAAGGCAGCUCGCUGGGACGGUACUGACGCUAAGGCGCGAAAGCGUGGGGAGCGAACAGG